rnacentral:ribozyme from 13 species
UCAGAAAUUCAUUUCAUUUCUUGGUCUUCUUUUUCUUCUUUUUCCUUUCCUUUUCCAAUUUCUUCUCCCCCAAUGGGUGAAGAGAGAAAAGAAGAGGAAGGCGAAGGAGAGAUAAAAGGAGGAGGAGAAAGAGAAGA